rnacentral:rRNA from 1 species
UACGGAGGUGGCAAGCGUUGCUCGGAAUCACUGGGCGUAAAGGGCGCGUAGGCGGGGAGGUAAGUCGGGUGUGAAAUCCCUCGGCCCAACUGAGGAACUGCGCCCGAGACUGCUUCUCUUGAGUCCCGGAGAGGAAGAUGGAAUUCCCGGUGUAGCGGUGAAAUGCGUAGAUAUCUGGAGGAACACCGGUGGCGAAGGCGGCAUCCUGGACCGACACUGACGCUGAGGAGCGAAAGCCAGGGGAGCAAACGGG